CCCCCACUUCUGAUCUCUGUGAGUUCAAGGCCAACCUGGUCUACAGAGUGAGCUCCAGGAUAGGCUCCAAAGCUACACGGAGAAAUUCUGUUUCGAAAAAACAAACCAGACCAAAAAACAACACAACCCCACUUCCUAUGCUUAAGAUUUACUUUACAUUUAGGAAAAGAAAGGCUCUUUUAAAUUUCUAGUGAUGCAUGUCUGCUGUACCCAGAGACCACAUGUGACAGAAGUGUAACUUCUCCACCUUUUGUGUUUUUUUUACACAGUUCAGUUAACCCAUAAACACAGAAUAUGGCAUUUUAUAAUUCUUGUUGUGAACAUAGGAAUGAUAAAGGUGUAAGUCUUUUCUUUAGUUAAAAAAAUACUCAAAUGCUGUUAGAGUAACCUGUAGGUUAAUUCAGAAACCUAUAAAUAAGAUACCAGAAUGAAAACACUUUGCCUAUCCCUUUAUAUUUCAAAUAGUUACAAUAUAUCUGAUUCUUAGUUAAGUUCUUUUUCUCUCCCAUUUCACUUAUGAUGAAAUACCUUGGGAUGGCUGUCUCUUCUUUCAAAUCAGAAAACACAGGAGAUCUUCUACCUGUAUGUGACUCAGAAAUACAUUUUUAACUUGGUUUCAUGAACCACAGACAUGACUCAAUGGGUAAAGCAUCCGCUAACAAGCCUUGUGACCUGAGUUCAAGCCCCAGAACCCACAUAGUAGAAAGCGAGAACCAACCCUAAAGUUGUCCUCUGACCUCCCUGCGGGCACUGUGGCGCUUGUGCCCCCACCCCCAACAAUAAAUAAAUUUACCUUUAAAAAAUAUAUUCGUCCUAAGCUUAGAUUCACAGUUGUGGGCUAGAGAGAUGGCUCAGCAGUUAAGAGCACGGGAUGCUUUCCCAGAGGUCCUGAGUUCAAGUCCCAACACUGACAUGGGAGCUCAUAGCUGUAACUCUAGUUCCAAGGGUUCUGUUCCCCUCCUGGCCUUCAGCACCAGGCACAGAAGUGGUGGACAGACAUAUAUGCAGACAGAACACCCACACACAAAAUUAAAAACUGAAAUUCUUGGUCUGGAAAACAUUGACACAACAUUUCAUACUUGAAAGCCAGUGAAAAAAAUUAGCUUUGUCACUGGAGUUUUUCCUCUCUAAACUCAGAGAUAAUGGCAGGAAGUCUGUCCUGAUAAUCACAGGAUAGCAAAGAACAUUUCAUAAAAGAUUCUGAAGUGGGGGUGUAAUAAAUUGCAAUGUGCUUUGUAAUGAGUUAUUGUAACUGGAUAAAGUUUCCCAGUGUUUAAUUUGGAAGUCGGUGUGUUGUAAGAAUUCUCAUCUUUUAAAACUGUCACGUGUUGUCAUGAGCCCUAGCUCCAGACCCUCUAGCAUCUCCUCUGCCUCCUCUUGCCAUCGGAACCCACUCACCAGCGCUGCAUGCUAGCUUGGCACCUCUUCUCAAGGUCACACGCUUCCUCGGCAGUAUCUCCUGCAGCUGCUCACUCCACCUGCGGGGUCCUCUGCUCUUCAUCCCCAUCCGUCCAUGUCCUGGUUCAGUGCCUUCAAUAGAACUUUUUAGAAAGGUGGGAAAAUUCUUGGGACAGCAGUUAAAAGCACUGGCUGCUCUUCCGGAGGAUCAUGUUCCAUUCCCAGUACCUACAUGACAUCUAGAGCCCUCUUCUGGCCUCUGCGGGUUCCUGCACUCACAGAUACGUACUUAACACAGGACACAUAUGCAGAUGCAUGAAAAUAAAAUCUUUAAGAAAUGAAAAACAUGGACUUCAUGAAAUAUAAAUGCUGAUCACUUCACAGCUUGUAAUCAAAGUUUAACCCUAAACCCUUGUAAUUAAACCCAAUAUAGAAAAUAAAAAUUUCAGAGGCUCCGUAUCUCACAGAUAGUCUGUCCUCAGCACAGUGCAAUUAAGUUGGAAAUCAAUAUCAAGAAAAAGUAGCAUAGAAGUCUGGACCUAGUGACACACACCUCUAAAUCCCACUACUAAUCUAAGACCAGGCUGGGCAACUCAGUGAUGCCGGCCUAAAAACUAAAGAGGACUGUGGUGUGGCUUAGUGACACAGAACACUUGCCCAUAGCCUGCACAAGGACCAAGCCCCAUGUACUGUUACACACACAAACACACACACACACACACACACACACACACGGAAACAUAGAACAUCCAUUUGAAAACUUAAAAGCAUACUUCUAAAUAACUUGUAGAUUGAUGAAUUCUUAAAUAAGAUUAAAUCUAAUUUAGAAGUUACAGUGAAAAUAUAGUGUUUCAAUGAAAUUUUUUAUUUUAUGUGUUUGGAUGUUUUGUCUGCAUGUGUGUUGCCCACAUGUGUGCCUGGAGACUAAGGAGGUCAGAAGAGGGCAUUGGGGCCCUUAACACUGGAAUUACAGUGAUUGUGAGCCAGCGUGUGGAUGUGGGAACUGAAUUCAGGUCCCUCUGCAUAGACAGUAAGUGCUCUCAACCACUGAAGCAUCUCUCUACCCCUCUGGACUUCAGUUUUUGCAGCAUGUUACUUGUAGUGGUUCUUCAGCAAAACUUGUAUUUAAAAGAAUUUUUUUAAAACUUUGUGCAUGCAUGUCUAUAUUCAGACAAAAUGCAAUGAAGAUUUCUUUAAAGUUAAAUUUGGUUUUUAAAAAAAGGUGAGCAAAUCUACAAGAGAGAGAAGGGAGCACUCAAAAUAGAUGUACAGGUUGAAAAGGUGAAUGGCUUAGUAUAAUUUUAGAGGAAUCUAUUUCAAAACCUAGGAGAAAUACCUAUUUCUAGAAACAUAACAAAUCAUAAAAAGAAUUAGGUCAGGUAUUAAAAGUCUUCUCACUAGGAAACAUGGAAGCUCACAGUUGUCGCCACCUUUUGAUGGGGUCACACAUCCAAGUUAAACAAGACACAAGAGUGCAGGUGGACUUCCCUGAUGAUCUGGAAACUGCCUCCCACUUUAUAACUGCCCAGACCAUGAGAAUAUCCUGCUCAGAUACCCAGGGUACGGAGGAGGGACGAUCCAAACUCAGUAAACAGUUUCUACUGAAUGUUCAAAGUGCAUAAGCUAGGGACCAUCUAAAUAACCAUUGCAUUUUCCAGAUAACUGAAAAACUGGGAAAGUUCAUCAGCUUGAGAAUCAUAACCUUGAUACCUAAACUAGAAAUAAACAGUACAAGAAAGUAACUUACAGGGGCUGGAGAGAUGGCUCAGUGGUUAAGAGCAUUGCCUGCUCUUCUAAAGGUCCUGAGUUCAAUUCCCAGCAACCACAUGGUGGCUCACAACCAUCUGUAAUGAGAUCUGGCGCCCUCUUCUGGCAUGUGGGCAUCCAUGGAGGCAGAAUGUUGCAUACAUAAUAAAUAAAUUAAA